rnacentral:rRNA from 1 species
GUAGGUGGCAAGCGUUGUCCGGAAUUAUUGGGCGUAAAGCGCGCGCAGGCGGUUCUUUAAGUCUGAUGUGAAAGCCCACGGCUCAACCGUGGAGGGUCAUUGGAAACUGGAGAACUUGAGUACAGAAGAGGAAAGCGGAACUCCACGUGUAGCGGUGAAAUGCGUAGAGAUGUGGAGGAACACCAGUGGCGAAGGCGGCUUUCUGGUCUGUAACUGACGCUGAGGCGCGAAAGCGUGGGGAGCAAACAGGGAUUAGAUACCCUGGUAGUCCACGCCGUAAACGAUGAGUGCUAAGUGUUAGGGGGUUUUCCGCCCCCUUAGUGCUGCAGCUAACGCAUUAAGCACUCCGCCUGGGGAGUACGGCCGCAAGGCUG